AUCUGUGGGGCUGGUCCUUCAGUUGGGAUGAACUGAAACUAUCAACAGAUAUAGAUACAGGAAGGGGAAAGUGUGGCCGUGCUUUAUUUAAUCUACCACCACAGACAAGAAGCUGAGGAACGAGGUGUUAGACUUACUGCUGAGCUAAUGGAAAAAGUUUGCUAGGCUGUGGAUUCUGGACAAGAGAACAGGAUCUGCUAGAAAAGCAAGGGAAAUACGGUAGGAGUGGUUUUCCCCAUUCAUGGGCUCAGAGGAAAGGUAUUCAAUGUAAAAACCAUAGAGAAGUGUUCUUUUUUGUCAAAUAAUAUUUAAAGAAUAUGUGUAUGUCUUUAUUAUAAAGCUACAGCGCUGGUCUUGGAGACUCACAGGGUGAGCCUAGUUUUUUACCUUGUGUCCCAGCUACAUGACUCGUGGUAAAUGUCUUAAACCAAUUAGCUGUAGGUUAGUAGUAUCUCGUAAGAUUGUGGUAGAAUCAAAUUCAUAGUAUAACUGAUGUAUAGUGCUUGGUACAUGGUCAUUGUUCAGCAUUGAUGGUUAUCACUGUCAUCAGCAAUGCUGUUAGCCUCUGACACUAAUUUUCUUAGCUUGCUAUUCCAGGCCAGGUCCAGUAAGCUGGCUUCAUUCUGUAUAUAGUGAAAAGUAGGUGCGGAGCAUAUAGUCAGUCCCCAGUACAUUCUGGCGAAAAAUGUAGUGAGUGAAUUAGUCUGUCAGUUAUAUAUUGUAGUUGUAGCGUGCGUGUGUGUGCGUGCGUGUAUGUCUGUGUGUGUGUGUGUGUGUCUCCUUUAGAAGAGAAUUUAACCCAUGAAAGCUGACAACUGCUUUUCAUAGUACACAAAUGGCUGACUGGCCCCCAAGAGCACCUUUGUACCAAGGAUUUAUUUAUGUGUUCCUUUGUCAGUCCUAGGUGGACACCCAAUAACAAGUUGAAUUGCCUUACGGCAUGCUGACCCUUAUUGCCUUAUCUGUCUUAUCUCCCAAGGCUGCCUUGAAGGCCCCUCUCUGGAAUCUAAGGGCUCAGAGGAGCUCAAGGCAAAACACAACUGCUUUCAAGAAUCAUUAAAAUGAAUGCCUUUACUGUUUGGCUGUUUUAAUAGUGCUUAAAAAUAAAAAAGGGCUCCGUUCAAGGUCCAAACUGGAUGUUAGGCAGAGCAUGCAUGCGUUCCUAUCACACACAUCAGCCUCACAGCUCGGCUGACAAUAAGCUGGGAAGCCCUGCAUCUACGCAUCAGACAAAGCUUCUUCACUGCGUUUCCACACCGCGCUCUCUAAUCACCCAGCUUCCUGAGGCAUCCGAGCGGGUUACCUUUUUGCUAAUGGUGCAUCUUCUAAGUACCUUUAAUUACACCAUCUCCUCUUGCUUUUAGUGACCCCUCUCUUCUCCCUGUUCAAAUCCUAUACAUCUUUCAAGUCCUAAGACAAAUUCCCUCUCUUCUAGGAUUGGGUUUCCUACAAUUCUCUGCCUUAUUUAGAUCUGCAGGAGCAGCAUUUAAUUGUUCUGUGUUAGCUUUGUCUUCCUAAAUAGGUCACCUCAUCCUCGAGGGCAAAGACUGUGCUGUGGUCUUCCUUGUUUCUUAUUCAGAGGGUAAGAGUGAUAGAUACAUAGUAGAUGCUGAUUAAAUAUGUGCUGAUUGAUUUCCUGCACAGAGGUAACUGCUAACUGAAGUUGAUGCAUGAAACAAACCAGGGUGUGUGUGGUAUGUGCAUAUGAUGUGUGUGUGUGUGUGUGUGUGUGUGUGUGGUGUGUGUGUGUUUGUGUGGGCACUCACACACACUCAUGUGUUACCCGAAUCUCCCUUUGGGGGAGAUGUUCUUAUGGGGAUGCAGACAACUCUUCAAAGAAUCUUGUUCUGAGAAUGCCCCUCUAGAGUGCAAUCACGGUGGGGGUGUUGCCAGGCAUUCUCUUUCUUGGAUACCUGUGGUUGGUGUGGAUCUUCCAGGGUCCAGGGCACAGGGCCUCUGGGACACUGGGGUAAGUUGAACACUAGCAAAGGUGGCCUUUGUGCUUUUAAGGAAUUUGGAGACAUUCUGAGGAUUGAUUCUGGUCUUUUUUCCACAUUGGGAAAGUAUUUAGCCUUUGAGUACAUUCAUGUCAUAGUUCAUACAUAAGUCAGGGUGAAGAGAGAGAGAGAGAGAGAGAGAGAGAGAGAGAGAGAGAGAGAGAGAGACAGAGA
rnacentral:lncRNA from 1 species